GUAAACGCCCAGGCUCUUACCAGUGCCUUCUCUCCACACACCAAGCCUUGGAUUGGUCUGGCUGAAGCUCUGGGGGCACUGAUGCAAGCCUGGGCUGGGUCCCCCAAAGGGACCAUCCAGGUGGUAACACAGGGAACGUCCCUGAAGAAUUCUGGGACCUGCCUGAGCCCCGCUGUCAUUGUCGGCCUCCUGAAGGAAGCUUCCCAUCGGGCGGACGUGAACUUGGUGAACGCCAAGCUGCUGGAGAAAGAGGCUGGCCUCCAUGUAACCACCUCCCACAACCCUGCUGCUCCGGAGGAGCAGGGCGGUGCGGAAUGCCUCCUGACCGUGGCCCUGGCAGGUGCCCCCUAUCAGGCCGUGGGCUUGGUCCAGGGCACUGCACCCAUGCUGCACGCACUCAACGGAGCUGUCUUCAGACCAGAAGUGCCUCUGCGCCGAGGCCUGCCCCUGCUCCUGUUCCGGGCUCAGCCCUCCAACCCUACCAUGCUGCCGACCAUGAUUGG
rnacentral:lncRNA from 1 species